rnacentral:lncRNA from 1 species
CUGCUGAGAUGUAUCACAACUUCUGGAGAGCUGCUCGUGAGUAAUGGGAUAUACAAAGUCAUCCGAAGCAGGCUCAAAGGGGAUCCUUAGCAAAUCCAAUCCCUUGGGCUGCCAUGUGGAGGAUGGAUCGAAGAGACCAAGGAUGUAAGCUGGAAGCCCAGACUCUGAAACCCAUUAAGGAAGAAACUGCAUCUGUCUUGCUCACCAUUGUUCACCUAGCAUAGCACCUGUCACAAGGCAUCCAUAAGGGGAAGAAGUGCCAUGAGAUUAAUCGGAGAUCUAAUCAUGGGUUUUUUCCUAGUUCUGGAGUCUACCUUCACUCUGACAUCUUUAUUUGUUGAAACAUCAUUUUGGGGAUCCAAGUAGAGCAGAAUUGAAAACUAGGGGAUUUCCACCAGCCUUCUGGCUCGAAGUUUCCCUUUUAAUUUUUCCCAUUGCCUAAGGAUGUCAGCUGUAUUACAGAUAACUGGUGACAGUGUUCUGGAGGGAAGACCGCACUGCUCCAUUUGAACACCUCGUCGACUCACUCACUGGUUUGAAAUAUGUCAACACUCAGAGAAUGAAAACAAGAGAUAUGAAAAUAAGUAACCACUCCUGGAGGGAUGUUCCCAACUCCUGCGCCAGAAUCCAUCGAAGAAGCGUUUGUCUCCAGCAAUAUUAAUGCGCCCCAUUUCCCGACUCUCUCACAUUUGAUUCAGUUCACCAAAUGUGUGAUGAAGACAGACAUGUGAAGAAUAGCUAUGGGACUGCUAAAAGGAGUAAAAAGUAUGACAAUCCAAGAGACAAACCCAAGUAGAAAGAAAUAAAUUACAACUAAAGGUGCAAACAAUAGACUGAAAUGGAACAGAACAAGGACUUCUAAUUGGGGGAGUUAAACAAGACUUCAUAUGUUGUGGACAUUUGUACCUCCAGGCUUUGAUUAGCACCCAUGUAGGCACAAACGAACAAACAUGCAGAAAUUCAGAGCUAAUGGACUGCAUCCACACUGAGUUAAAUCAGGCUAAAGAUUAAUGAAAAAUUCAGUCAUCCUGAGUCCUUUACUUGCUUACCAUCAACCAUCCAGAUGUUUGAUAUUUAAUCAAAGCAAUUGGAUAGUGGACGGAAUUUUACUUUUCAUUCAGUUAUUUGGAAUAGUCAAUAAUAUGCAGUUUGCCAAAUCUUGGGAGAAAAUUCUUUUGCCCUCCAAAUUUAUUUCCAAGUGGCAGGAGAGAAUUUGGAAGUAAUCAAGAGGUUGUUUGGGGAAAGUAAAGUAUAAGAUGGCCAAAUCUUCUUCGUUUCACAGAGAGUUACCUUGGGUAAAUUCGUUUAUGACAAGAUACUUUCACUACUUGAUAAGAUUCUUAUUUUUUCUUACUUUGCCGGAGGACCUCAUUGUUCUUGAACUUUUGAGAAAAGACAGUGUGUUAGCUUAAGAAGCAGAUUCUAAGAUGGGAUCAAAUGAACAAGGAUUUAAUUAGGGGAAACACCUGUGAGAGAAAAUGGGCAAGGAACUGGUAAGGUUGGGAGCACCAUCAGAUGGCAAAACCAUCUGCCCAAGCAAAGGGAGGGGGAAGGAAGGUUGGCUGAAAGCAUAUUAGACUGCUGUGCUGUCUAGGGAGGUUCAGCAAAGCCAAUGAGGAGGCCUGGGGCCAAAUUGGCUGUUGGAGGAGUGCCAUGUCUCCCAGGAAUGAGACUGCCUUAGUAUCCCCGUCACACCCAGAUUGUGGGGGCAGCUUGCGGGAAGUGAGGUCUGGGUGCAAAUGUGAUAGCGGACUUCAGACUGCAGCCUCUGGGUUAAUCACACUCCCUGGAGUUGGAAGUCUUUGGUGCAGUCUCAUGGCAGGGAGAAAUGGUAAUUUCAUUAGGAUAUAGAUUAGCUGUAAUAAGAGACCCCAGAAUACAGUGGCUUACGCAAGAUAGAAUUUUAUUUCUCUCUCAAAUUGGGAUUUCAGGCUGGAUAUUGGGGAGCCAGGCUCCUUCUAGCCUGUUGCUCUAUCAUCCUAGCACCUUACCCUUAUUCACAUAAUGGGCGGAGCACAAGAUGGCUCCCGGUGUCUGCAUUGCAGCCAACUGGAUAGAGGAGAGCAAGGAAGGGUGGCAAGCACCUUUCCCUUGAAGGACAUGAG